GGAGAAAGAGGAGAGGGAGGGAGUGAAGGAGUGCUGCUGCAGAGGCAUUUUCAUACAAAGGCUGGAGAAAGUAAGUGAGAUUGGGUUUUCCUCUUCGUCCAUCCUGAAACAAGCACCUCUCACCCCACCCGUCACAGAAUGCCCCCUGGAGAUAGCGGGUGCCGAGGUGAUUCAUUGGUAGCAGUGCUGGUUAAAAAUAUUCCUCCUCCUCCUUCUCCCUAUGCUCCACUUCCCUCUGACUGUCAGAGGAAAUGAAGCCAGCUCCUGUUCACCACUAAACAAGGCUCUGUAAGCUUGUAUCAUUUUAAUGUCCCCUAACUCCUUCCAGGCAUGGAAUAUGUGUUCAGGUUGGUGUAAAAUGUGACGAAGAGGCCUGAAUGAUGUCAAGGCAACAGGGAAAAGUGGGUGUGUGCCUUUUUUGAAUGUGGUGGACAGGCACAGUGAAAGGACAACAGUUGUCUUUAGAGGGUGGCGACGUGUUAUCUUUGUGCUAAAAAGCUGUCUUUUCCAGUUCAGCUCCUGCUGAGAACUGAUUGGUAGUUUGUGGGUUUGUCCUUGCCUUGCAUUAAUGCACAGAACCAAUUAAUCAUUGUUCUUUAUCUAGACCUUUUAUUAAUUUGGGUCGUUCACAAAGUAUGUUGUUGACCUUGUGCUUUGUGGUUGUCUGUCUUUUUCCAAUGUACCUUUCCAAGUCAGAUACUCAUUAAGCCCGGGAGGAAAAUGAGCUGGCAGAAUAUGUGAUCAUUCUAUUUGAGGUCCAAAAGUUUUCACAACUCGGGGAGAGAAUCCUGACCUUGACAGAGGACGAUAAAUAAUUAUCAUUACAAUGUGUCUGAUACAGUUUUGCUCCAUGUGAUUAUCCCUCCCUCCUUGUCCUUCCUGCUGAUAUUGGCCUGAAGUACAUUUUAUCUUCACCUUCCAGGCGGACCAGAUUAAUCCAGUGAAAUGUGUUUUAGCGAAGUCAGUGCACUAAAUGGGGAGAAGAGGGAACCCAGUGGUUCUGUGUCUCUUGAAUUACAAUGAGUUUGGCUCCUGUUUCAAAAAUGGGAGAACGGUGUUUUUGCUGCGAAGAUCAAUCACUUCAUAGAGCAUUGUUUGGGUUUUAACUUUUGAGGACCUUGUUGGCUUUGGGGAUGACGAAUUUUUCAGAAAUGCUCCCGUGGACCCGACAUCCAACUGAUGCAAUGAGGCUGCAAUUGUUUUUGCUUUUGAACAGUGGUUUCUCAGAUCGCCAGUUGCCUUACUGUGUCUCUGCUGGAGUGGCUCUGCUGCGAAGCCAUUCUUCUCAGCUCCAGACUGCAGCUUUUAUUGGGAGAUUGUGUGCUGGGCGAGGCGCAGCAAAUUAACCAAGGCCUGCGAAGGUUAAAUGCUGCUACCGGGGACUUUGUGCAUGAGGCGGGCAGCGCCACAUCAUUGGCAGCUCCCCUCUAGCCUUUCGGUCUUGUCAAUACCGGCUGUCCACAUCACAGCCCAUUCAUAUCUCUGUGUGAAACAGUGUCCAUUGUAAUGGCAUCACAUUACGCAGAACAUACUCAUUUUUGGCAGUAAAACAAGAGUCCAGCAUUCAUUUUCACUCCAUUCAUCUUCAUAUUUCUUUGCAUGUUCACAGUGUGAGUGAAUGGAGCUUUGUUCACGUCCAUACAGAUGACCUCUCAGUUUUGUCCUCCAAUUUGUCCUCAGUACACUGGCUCAAUGGGUUGCUGUGUUCACUCUUAUACAGAGACAGCAUGACCCCUAAAGGCCCAAGGACUCCCAGAUGAUGGAGUGACUGAGACAUCUGCCAUGGAAGUACAGAUGGUCGCCUUGGGUACACUGUACCCUGUUGAAGCUGAAAAAUAUGAUUUCAACCUAAGUAAGCUGUAUUGACUGAGACGUCUCCUACAGUAGUCCUCAGGUUGUUGGUGCAGGAUGUGGGUGGUGGAUUGAUUACUGUACAGAAUUCCUACAGGAGAGCAGUGACUUAUAAUUCUACCGUAAACCAGCAAUAUUUUGUUUACAUGGAAAUACAGUUUCCUUGAAAUGUCUCUGCAUAGGCAGCGAUUACAUAAUCAUAGAUUGUGGCUUUUAAGCAGGCACAUAAAAGCGUUAACUGCAUCUGCGAGAGCCAGUCAGAGUGUAUGUGUAUUUGAGUUCCUCUUUUCAUAGUGCAUAUGAAUUUUAUAUUUGUAGGAUGUUGAUUCAGAGGAAUGUUUUACUGUUAUGUACUGCUGGGUUUUCAGACUGAUUUGCCCUUUCAUUCAUUCAUUCAGUGUGACAUCUUGUUCAAGUUAACUGCUUUGUUUGAAUUUUGAAUUUUUUUUGUUGUUUGUUUUUUGAAGUAAUCAGUAGUAAGUAAUCUGUCCCACCAGCGUCAUUUCGAGAGAGCUAACUAGCUAAGUAGGACGAUGACAUCCCCCUUCUUAAUUCUGCCUACAGAGCUUUGAUUGGUUGAUUGUUUCUCCAACCAGGGGAAAGAGCCAACACUAAGCUCAACACCAGACUUAUUUGAAUCGCUGAACAAAUCUGAGAUGUGGACAGUGAUUAAGAGGUCUAGUACCAGGCUAUCAUUGCUUAUCAUGUAAUAGUAGGAAAAAUAUUGCUACAUACUCCACUGCUGCAAAAUCCUCAGGCUUCUGAAUUAGCCAGGAGGCCUGCUCUUUCUCUGGAAACCAUGGUUUUUACUCAUUUAGAAAUAAUGAGCAAGAUAUUUCAACAACUACUGACCAGAUUGCCAUGACAUUCCAUUUUAAUAUGCAUGAUUCUCAGAUGAUGAUUGACAGAGAUUUUUGUGACCGAUGAUCCCUUUUGUCUUAGGCCACCAUCAGGUCAAAAUUCCCCCUUCAUCAAUAUUUAGCUCCAUGAUGCACAUUACCGUGUUUGUGUGAGACUUAGACAGUUUUCAAAACUUUCCAGGAACUCUCUAUUAAUUUACUUCAGUCUGGCCUGUGUAUAUUAAUGAGGCGCAAAUGUUUUGCUCGAAGUAAAACAUUUUUAACUCUCAUGAGCAUGUCUUCACCACUGUUGGCAACACUUAAGAGGGAAUUUCCAUCUGUUUGUGUCCUUUUGUAUUUCCACUGACAUUGUAUGCAAUCACUCUGCUUCUAGAAUUUGUUUCAUGUUCAGUCUGAGCACACCUUAAAGGGGACCUAUUAUGCUCAUUUCCAGCUCUCUAUAUAUAUUAUUUUAUGAGCAGAUGACCGUAUAAGGACAUCUGUGUCAGCUCGGCACAAAAGUGUUGGAAACCAUAGUAUUCAGAGCAGUCUGAAGCCUGAGCUUUUUACUCACAGGGAUAACUUUUACACACGUUUACUUCAUUAUUUGAAACUUUGGCCACGUAGAAUAUGAACAUCUGGCAUUGUAACAUUAUAUAUGAAAGAAAAUAAGGCAAAGCAUAAUUGGUCCCCUUUAAGAACGGUAAAAUUGCCAGUAUUGCAUUAUCCAAUACUUAGUAUAUUUUGGGCUGCAAUGAGGAUUACAGCCUCUAGGGACCACUAGCGGGGCUUUAAAUAUUACAACUUGUUGACCAAAAAUUGAUCUUGCAGAAAAUAAUUAUCUCAAAGAUUAUAAUAAUUCAAACAAAUGUAACCAGAUGCAUCUUAUUUCAAAUUCAGAAUUGCUCCAGAAAAUCCACAUACAAACGCCUCAGUCAUAUAAAAUGCCCCAUGGAUGCAGACUUGUGUCAUUUUCUUGAAAACAAUUGCUUUGAAAAAGCCUCCUCGAGCUCGCCAGGCUGUUCUCUGUUCUACUUGUGCGUUGUGUGGAAGGUGAGUGUGUGCCAGGUCUUCAAACACUGCUUGUCCAUCCUCCCUUUGUACCUCGUCUGGCUGGUGUCCUCCCACUACUGCUGCUUCGUGUUUGGAAGGGCCAGCAGGGCCAGCAUGGCGAAGGGAAGGAGGGCCGUCUGUGCCCAGCCUGGCCACCUGGCUGCCCAGAGGGGAAGGGGGCGUGGAGGGUGGUGGAGCUGAGGAAGCGGGUCAGCGAGAAAGAGACAUUUCCCCUCCUCUUUCUCUCUCUAGUUUUCUCUCUGGCCUUCUGUUCUCUCAUCCAUGCCUUUCUUCCUCUUUCUUCAUGCUUUCACACUUUGUCCCUCUUACCUCCAUCCUGGUUAUCUCUCGCUGGUUUUAAUCCUUUGCUUUUUAUUAUUUCCAUGGUCUUCUAGAGCCCAGUUCAUGUCAAGUUUAUGAGAAACAGUUGUCACUAUCAAGAUGCUAACAAACUUCAUUACAUGGAAAAUGUGUCAUGUAUAAAAAAAAAAAUCUACUUUUGUACUUUGAUGGAAAGUUUCACACUGAUAAAAAGGGAGACGUAUAAUUGUAGAAAUUCUGCUUCCAUAAUGUAAUCAUCUUUUCAACAAGUGUCAAUAUUACAUAUGAAUUUUUUUUAUGAAAAUAAGAAACUACUUAGCAGUACUUCAAUGCAUGUGCAAGCUGUAAUAUGAUAGCUGCACAUGUACAUUUUCUCUACAGAAGAGAGAAACUCAGCUGAGAGAGAGCUGAGCACAUAACCUGAAAUUUUUGGGUUUUCUUAUUUUCGUAGACGGUGAAUAAUCUGUUUCCUCUUUCUGCUGUUGCUACCUGGCCGUUUUCUGUCAUCCUUCUGCCACUACCUGACUUCCCAUCUGCUCUCUGUGGUGGAUGGACUGUGCCUGUCCAUGCCAGACUGGAAACUGCUGGGCAUUACCUAUGGUUCACCCAGGUGAACAUCUGACAAACAGAAGAACUGUAACAUGUAAAAAAAAACAAAACAAAACAAAAAACAACAACAAAGAAAAUAGAUACAUUUACACCAAAAUACAUAUUGGGAGUAGGCAAGGCAAGGCACAUUUAUUUAUAUAGCACAUUUCAUACCCAAAGGCAACCCAAAAUGUUUUUACAGAAAAAACUAAUUCUAGCAAACACUGAGCAAGCAGGAGCACACA